CUGCAUCAUGUCGCUACAAAUCUAGCCUAUCACGGUGGCGAAAUAUCUCUCAAUGAUGAUCCUCUCUUUCUAUAGCUUCUGCUGGGCAUAGAUAAUGCCAGUCUAAGUGGUGCAAAGUUCAGCUCUUAGGACGGAAGACUCAAAGAGAUAUGAUCCCUCCGUUGACAGCAAUCUAGCAUCCGAUCCCUAGAUGAUAAACCAGCGCU
rnacentral:lncRNA from 1 species